rnacentral:lncRNA from 10 species
CGACCCUGCGCCACUUGAGACCCCAGAUUUCCUCUGGCAUGCUCCAGAGAGAGACAAGGAGAUGAGGAGACAAGCAGACGAACAGCGGAACAAUGCAGCAGAGAAAGAGAGAAGAGAAGGAACGUCUGAACGUCGAGAGGAGUUCGGCUGCUGGACGGCCAAACUCCAGGGGAAGAUCAUCUUCCCACUCCAUUCCCCCUCCAGCUCCCCAUCCAUCCCACUGAGAGCCACUUCCACCACUCAAUAAAAGCCCCACAUUUAUCCUUCAAGUCCAUGUGUGAUCCAAUUCUUCUGGGAUGCUAAACAAGAACCUGGGAUACAGAAAGCUGUCACACUGGCCCUCUGCCCUUGCAGAAAGGCAGAGGGGCCCUGAGCUGGUUGAUACUUAAGCUGUCUGUGGAUGGCAGAACUAAAAGAGCAUUGG